rnacentral:lncRNA from 1 species
UCACCCGCUUUGUGGGGAUCCAUUUUGGCCGCCCCAGGAGACCAGUACGGCGGGUGGACAACGCUGGACGUGGCUGCGGUGGCCCCAGGUGACCCGGCCACUGUGAGCUGGAGUAACUCAAACUCAACCGCCCACAGGGACCACAUUCCUGGCCAGGGAGCUGGGAAGUGUUUCCUGGGGGGAGGGGCAGAAAAGCAAAGCACGUGUCCUGUGCAUCCAGCUUCUUCAUGGGUGCGCCCAGGGAGAACCGAAGGCUGAGGCCCGGCCAGUGUCCCGAAGGAAGCUUUCACCCCCCUCGUCACUUGUCUCUGUUGGUUCAUGGGCUCGGCAUGUCAGCGUGGCCCCCCGUGCUGGGUCUCAUGAGACCCCAGGGGGAUGCUGAGGGGCAAGCCCAUGGAUCUCCAUCUGUGAGACUGAGCCAUCUGCAAAUGGGCUCAGCUGGGGAGGAUACGCCGCCCACAUGGCCACGUGCUGACGUUCUGGAGGGACCAAUGCAGAUGCCCCUCUGAGACCAGGAAGACCAACAAACCCACCACAGAAGAGCGAACAGUG